rfam:Calocera viscosa TTFC12733 unplaced genomic scaffold CALVIscaffold_70, whole genome shotgun sequence.
GGGCGUGUAACUCAGGGGUAGAGUGCUUGCUUCGCACUGGGUGUUUGCAUGAAGUCUUGGGUUCAAUUCCCAACUCGUCCA